GUAGUAGUAAAUGUUGGAUGAUGAAAGUUCCACGUCCGCUAAUUUAGGAACUGAUCAUGGAUUUGUAAUCAAGGAAUAGUCUCUCCAUUGGUAUGAAUCUUUUUGGAAAACCCAAAGCAAAACA